UAGACACUAGACUUGCUGCCUAUGUCAAUGUGCCCUUCUUAUAGUAUCAGACUUCUUUUAUGCAGUCACAGUCAUUCCAUACGUCUUUUAUCUGAACUUAAUUGCAUAAGUUCUGGAAAUCUGUAGCUUUGUAUUCUUGUAAAUUUUUGAAUCACGUAUAUUUUUGCAUUAGGACAGGGACAUUCUCAAGCCUUUUUAGCGCAUCAGAUCAAGCUUCGAAACUAGAAUUUAUGCAAAACAAAAAUAUAGAAGGAACAGUAUUUCAAAGGUAUGUGAAUUCUUGUCUGCCAAGUAAUAUUUUUUUCUUUAAGUAUUUUCAUAUUUGCAAGAGAAUUGUCUGGCUGUAUCUUAUAUGCAUAUAGUGUGAUAAGUGGCUAUGUACUGAAGCUAUGAAUCAAUUGUUUGUUUACAUGUGUUUGAAGAUUUUCUCCAAAUUCGCUCAGAAAGCCAAGGACUGAUUGUUCAGCAAUGCAAAACCAAAAGGUGUUCGAGUACUUUGCAUCGUAAUUCGUACAGAUCCCCUGAUGGUAAAGUGUUUACGACACCAGCUGACCGUGAGAGUGGAAAGGGAUUCAAUGGUCGAAGAUACUGUUUGAGCUAGGUUGGACAUGAUGAUUUGGAUUUACCUCAGACUUCAAAGUCCCGACUUGGAAUCCAAAAGUGAAGAUUGUGUGUUUAUAGUUGUAACCAAUUAGAAAUUUACAAAUUGAUUUUUUCUUAACCUAUCAAUCAUGGUUCACGUAUGAAAAGGGGUUCGUCUCCUAAUUAGAAUUAUUCAUUAAGUAUUUUUAUUAAAAUCAUUUGAACCUACUUCUUUGAUAACUAUUUUCACAUUUAUGUGUUAUCUUUCUAAACAAAAGUUCUUCAUAUGCAAUUGUUGGAUUAGAGUGCUUUGCAGUGGUUUUUGGUGCCAUAUGCAGAGCAAUCCGAUGUGCUAUGAUUCUCUAUUUUAAGAUGUUGUCGUCCGCAAAGGGAGGCAUGGUCUUAUAUGCAAAAUCUGUUAUGCUGCAAUAGUAUGUGUUGUGUUAAAAUGGAUUUUGCUGGUAUGUGUUUAGUGCCUCGGCUGGGAUCACGUUCUGGUUUGCAGACGUGGCUGGAAUUUGCUGUCAGAUUUUCCGCGAUCCUAUGGUUACGUUAUUAUUUCUGGUGAACAGAUCUGCUGUCUUUUGGAUCUUUUUGUGAUGCAAAUGGUGCUUCAAAAUUUUGAUCAGGCCUGGGGGAUGGCUGUGAGAAUCUGAAAUUGCUUCUCUUAAAGAAAAAGUGGGAUUACUGGAAAUGUCAAUAGGAUCACAGAGAGAUGAUCUUCAGAUUUCAUAGCGUAGUCUUAAUAUCGCCAAGGAACAAAUUUGAGA